UACGUAGGUGGCAAGCGUUGUCCGGAUUUACUGGGCGUAAAGCGCGCGCAGGCGGACUGGUCAGUCCGGGGUGAAAUCUCACGGCUCAACCGUGAGCGGUCCCCGGAUACUGCCAGUCUUGAGGUGUCUAGAGGAGAGCGGAAUUCCCGGUGUAGUGGUGGAAUGCGUAGAUAUCGGGAGGAACACCAGUGGCGAAAGCGGCUCUCUGGUUCACACCUGACACUGAGAUGCGAAAGCGUGGGGAGCGAACGGG
rnacentral:rRNA from 1 species